rnacentral:sRNA from 1 species
UGAAGGCGUUGGAGAUGUCUAUAGACACC